ACUCAUACUGUGGGUGAUAGUGAUAGUGUACUACGCAGCAAAGCUUGUAUUGCAGUGUGUCGUGUUUUGUGUAUUGCUUCUUUUACUUUAAACGAGAAAUGUCAACGAAACCAACUCUCAGUUCACUGAAACGUCAUCGCACUCUAAUUAAUGCAUCCCUCUCGAGGUUCAAUGCUUUCUGGCGUACUCAUGGAAGAAUUGCAUCAAUCGAAACGAUUUGUGAGUGGGUAGUGAAGAGUUCGUUAUUAAUUGAUGAUUAUAUGUUUAUUCAAGAACAAAUUCAUAGCUUCUUCAUAAAGGGAAGUGCGGAGGAACAAGCUCACAUUGCAUUAACGGACAGUUUUGAGGAACUUUUCUAUGAACUGAUGAACGAGGCUCAGCAAUGUAUAGAUUUUUAUAUGUUUCGAAAAGCCACUCGCUAUUAACAGCGAGAAUCGGCCAACUAAAAAUGAAUGCAUGUUCCGCAAUGUCUGCAGUCGCGGCUACGGUAAAAUUACCGUCUAUUCCACUGUCGUUCUCGCAUCACUUGCAUGUACUUCUGCGAUAGCGUCGAAUCGCUGAUCAAUCAAAACGAAUCCUUGAGCAACAUCUAACGAUUUCACCAUUUAUAUUUGACGAUAUACGAUAACGACAACUAUAAUGCCGCAUGGAAACUUUAGUAGAUUUGGAGAAUGUUUCUUGAACGGACAUACUAAACUCGAGCAAUGGUCAUUGAUAAUUACAAUGACACAAUCUCAUGGAGGGAUGAUCCUUUGCAGUCGAUCCAUGUUUACGAGUCCACAGAUGCGUUCUUAAAUUCUUUUCAGUGGAUCAUUGCACGCAGAGAAAUUUAGAAAUUAUUCUAUGUAAAUUAAAGAAAUUUAUUCUAAGAAUCGUGGAUAUUUAGUGGAUGCUAUUCGUAUCGCUACUUCAGAACAUUUUUGCUUCCGUACUAUGGUGGUGGUGGUGAAGGAGGGUUGCCAUCCGUCUUUACGUUGCAAAUUCGACCGUAUCACCGAGAUGUAUCGUGGCAAGGGUGAAGAGACCGACUUGUCAGACCGACAGUCUCAGAACAAGCUGAACAAUAUCCAAUCCUAUGCAUUCAACACAUAUACGGACGAAAGCGCAUGAGCGAAAGACACGGAUAGGAGUCGCAAGGCUGUGACACUCAGAAGACACCAAUGAUUCCUACUCGAUGCGCGUCCAUCAAAUUUUGUGCUUUCUACAAACCCCGAAGCUGUCCAUACGACUAUCAUCGUGAAGAGGUUGUAGAACUGCGGUUGAAUGAGAACCCCUUAAAAGGUCAAAAGUUCGUUCUCUUUGCGUGCACCCUGCGUGACAUCCUCGAGGGUCGCUAGUGCCGUUGCCUGGCAACGCUGCUUAUAUUCGACCAAUGAGCGAAGCAGAGAAAACAAGAAAGAAAAGGGAUAGAAAAUGGAUGGAAAAGAGAGGGGAAAAUAGGAUGGGGAGCCCCUUCCUUUCCUUUUUCUACCUCCACUCUCUUUUCCCGCAACUAGCUUUAUUUCUACGCACUACUCGACUCAUCGUCAAGCGCUAGAGUUCCCCUUCUUACUUUGAAGGAUGCCAGCCUUGUAUCCGAAAAACCACACUUCUGUCUUUGAAACUCCCGUACUUGCGCCGUGAAAGACCCCUGUUUCCUCCUUUGCAUUUGCUGCACCUUUUAGAAGAUUCAGGAGCGCUCGAAAGAGGGAACUUUAAUAUAUGCUUUCGUUCCGAGAUUGUUUGUGCACGUCCUUGGCUCUUUGCGCACGACUUUAUCAGAAUAUCGACGUCGUUGGAAAUCGCAAAAGUUCAACGAAAUAUUGAUUUUAUAGAACGUUGACAAAACAUUUCUUCGAAGAUACAAACCUAGCGAAUUAGAAUUGAAAGACACCUAGUUUUCACGCGUUUCCUCACCAGCUUCGAUUAUCGUCACGUAAUUGUCGCGCUCUGAUUACACUCGGUCGUCCAUUAAUUGUACGCAAAUUAUGCAGCAUACUUGAACCUAAAUUUAUGACUCGAAAUUGCACGUACGCAACAGCCGAUAGUUCGACGGUACAAAGCACCUAAUAAUUUCGCUCGGAAACGUAAUCGUGACAGGUGAUUUCUAAAAUAGAAAUGACAAGCUAGUGGUCUUAAAAUUCUAAAACGAAGAAUUAAAAUUCCAAGAACGAUGUAGUAAAUAUAGAAUUGAUUGUAAUUUAUCUUGUAUCAUUUCUAGAUCUUAGAGAAGAUGUUGAGCAUAAAUAAUGUUAAUGGUAACGUCAGACAAGAAUGACUGCGGUAGCGAUUGUUAUAUUCAAAUGGAGUAAAGAAAAAUAGGAAAUAAGAGUUAAGCUUAAUGUUCUACGACAACCGAAAAUACAAAAUUAUCAAAAUACAAAUAGUUAGACAAUAAAAAUAUCCACAUUAGAUAACGUAAAAGAUUGUAAGUUACAGUAGGAGACACGAAAUAUCCCAUUUUCAAUAUUGCGUCAUAUGCGUAGCAAACAGAGAUUAAUGUUUCGACAAUACCAGAAGUGAAUAUUUUUUACUCCGUUUCAAUAGUCUACAAUGUUCAUCUCGAAGAAAAAUUAUGGUAGUGUGAAGCAAUUACUGUUCUUGUUUUUCAUCAUUUUUCUGACACUUAAUUAGCACGUAAAUACCUUAUUAUGAACA